UCGCAAGACUAAAACUCAAAGGAAUUUGACGGGGGCCUGCCCAAGCGGUGGAACACGUGGUUUAAUUCGAUGUUACGCGAGGAACCUUACCAGGGCUUGACAUGCUGGAAGUAGCCACCCGAAAGGAUUGGCCACCUGUAACCAAUCAGGAACCAGUGCAGGUGCUGCAUGGCUGUCGUCAGCUCGUGCCGUGAGGUGUUCCCUUAAGUGGGAAAACGAGCGCAACCCUCGUCCUUAGUUGCUAGUUUCGAGUAAUCGGAACGCACUCUAAGGAGACUGCCCGCGUUAAGUGGGAGGAAGGUGAGGAUGACGUCAAGUCCGCAUGGCCCUUAUGCCCUGGGCUACACACGUGUUACAAUGGCGCAUACAAUGGGGGGCUAAGCCGUAAGGUGGAGCAAAUCCUGUAAAGUGUGCCUCAGUUCGGAUUGAGGGCUGCAAUUCGCCCUCAUGAAGCUGGAAUCGCUAGUAAUGGCACAUCAGCACGGUGCCGUGAAUACGUUCCCAGGCCUUGUACACACCGCCCGUCAAGC
rnacentral:rRNA from 1 species